rnacentral:rRNA from 1 species
UACAUGGGGUGCAAACGUUGCUCGGAAUUAUUGGGCGUAAAGCGUGCGUAGGUGGUUUGUUAAGUCUGAUGUGAAAGCCCUGGGCUCAACCUGGGAAUUGCAUUGGAUACUGGCAGGCUAGAGUGCGGUAGAGGAUGGCGGAAUUCCCGGUGUAGCAGUGAAAUGCGUAGAGAUCGGGAGGAACAUCUGUGGCGAAGGCGGCCAUCUGGACCAGCACUGACACUGAGGCACGAAAGCGUGGGGAGCAAACAGG